rnacentral:rRNA from 1 species
UACGUAGGGUGCAAGCGUUAAUCGGAAUUACUGGGCGUAAAGCGUGCGCAGGCGGCUAUGCAAGACAGAUGUGAAAUCCCCGGGCUCAACCUGGGAACUGCAUUUGUGACUGCAUGGCUAGAGUACGGUAGAGGGGGAUGGAAUUCCGCGUGUAGCAGUGAAAUGCGUAGAGAUGUGGAGGAAUACCGAUGGCGAAGGCAAUCCCCUGGACCUGUACUGACGCUCAUGCACGAAAGCGUGGGGAGCAAACAG